rnacentral:rRNA from 1 species
GAUGAACGCUAGCGGCAGGCCUAAUACAUGCAAGUCGAACGGUGUCUUCGGACAUAGUGGCGCACGGGUGCGUAACACGUAUGCAACCUACCUUACAUUGGGGGAUAGCCUUUCGAAAGGGAGAUUAAUACCGCAUAAGACAGUAACUAGGCAUCUAGUAGCUGUUAAAGAUUUAUCGAUGUAAGCUGGGCAUGCGUCCAAUUAGCUAGUUGGUGAGGUAACGGCUCACCAAGGCAAUGAUUGGUAGGGGAACUGAGAGGUCAAUCCCCCACACUGGCACUGAGAUACGGGCCAGACUCCUACGGGAGGCAGCAGUAGGGAAUAUUGGGCAAUGGACGCAAGUCUGACCCAGCCAUGCCGCGUGCAGGAUGAAGGCGUUAUGCGUUGUAAACUGCUUUUAUACAGGAAGAAACGACUCUUGCGAGAGGCAUUGACGGUACUGUAUGAAUAAGCACCGGCUAACUCCGUGCCAGCCGCCGCAGUAAUAC